UACGUAGGGUGCGAGCGUUAAUCGGAAUUACUGGGCGUAAAGCGUGCGCAGGCGGUUCGUUGUGUCUGUGGUGAAAGCCCCGGGCUUAACCUGGGAAUGGCCAUGGAAACUGGCGAGCUGGAGUGUGGCAGAGGGGGGUGGAAUUCCGCGUGUAGCAGUGAAAUGCGUAGAGAUCGGGAGGAACAUCUGUGGCGAAGGCGACUGCCUGGACCAGCACUGACACUGAGGCACGAAAGCGUGGGGAGCAAACAGG
rnacentral:rRNA from 1 species